GUAAAAAAAUAAUAAAAAUAGCUAGAACUGACGUUUUGCGAAUUUCGAUCAUAUGGACCAGUUGAAUAAUUGCAGCAGAAUUUUUUUUAUUAUUGGCAAAAGAGAUAGACAUUGAUCGAAAUACGUCUUACGUCAUUUCUUUUUUAUUAUAACAAUAUGACGUCAUAUUUUAUAGAUAUUAAAAAAAAAUAUAAGACAAACUUUAGAAUUGUAUCGAGAAAGUUUGAUAGAAAAAAUUAACAUGUUUUUGACUGAUUUGUUUAUGAUAAAUAAAUAAAAAAAAUAAUCGAACUUGAUAACUUUGUAGUUAACGCAAUUUAAUACUAAUUAAUAAAGAAAAUUAUACGCUUCGAUCAAUAAUUACGUAGAAUGUAGUAAUUAAAAUUAAUUUACUUUUCGUAUAUUUAAAGAACGAAAAUAUAUAUAUAUAUAUUAAUAACUCUUUUCUAAUUUUUGAACUUAGAUCACAACACUGUUUCAAACUAUCACGGAGAAGGAAAGUUUUAAAUAUACGUCGUACUGACGAUCUAGCGCUCUGCUGAAGAGUGUUUAACGUGUGCCUCGAAUAGUUUGUGGAUAAAGUUGGAGCGAUAGCAAGCGCAAACUUGUCGAGUACACUCGAUGAACACCCGUGACCAGAGCGGUAGAUCACGUUGAGGCGUAUAUGAAAAAUUUCUCUGAUAAUUUAACACUUAAGUAGCUUCAUUUGCAUAUGCAAGAUGUGUGCCUUUUUAAUAUAUGUGCUUAUUUAUGUUCUAUAUUUUUCUGUCUGUGUAAUUUUUCCUUAAAUUCAAUAUCACUUAAUGUGGUCUUCUAUAUAUUAAUAUAUAUUUCUAUCCUCUGUUUAUUCUUAUAUAAGCGAUUUUAUAUAUAUACAUGUGUAUAUGUAUAUGCACAUUAUGUUUUUCUGUUCACGAGGAGACAUUUGAUACAUAUAUAUAAAAAUAAUCGCUCAAAAUCAAAAUAAGAAAAAAAAAAGAAACAACAAUGGCAAAAGAUAAUGAUCAAUUAAUUGCUCAAAUAUUUCAAUAUAAUUUCUUAAUUUUUUUAAUGUUAUUUAUGUCAUUUUAAUUUUGUAUUUACGUAAAUUUUGGAUUAAAUAAAAAUAAUUGCAAAAAAAAAGUCUGCAGUGACAGGCGAACAGCGUCAAGGGUCCAAAAAAACAAACAAAAUAAAGAAAAAUUGUUUCCUCUUUUUUAAUAAGGGGUUCGGAUUAUCGCAUGUUAAUUCGUAAGAAAAAAUAAUAAUAAUAAUAAAAAUAAAAAAAAAGAGUUGUGUCAAAUAAAGGGAACAAAUUUAUAAUUUUCUGGAUAUGUUUGUAGUAAAAAGAGAAAGUGUUCAUAAAUUUUUUCAAACCUUUCUAAAUUUUUAUAUUGGUCAAAAUAAUUGAAUGAAUCCGUGAGUUAUUUACAUGUUGUGUUCUGAUAAUCAGCUGUUUGGAUGAAGUUUCUGAACACAUUCCGUGUUGUGAAUAUAAUAAUAAUAAUAAUAAAGAAUGCUUUUGAUGCAUUCUAAAUUGAAAACAAUAUCGUGCUUCGGAUAAUUAAAAAUAAUAAUAAUAAAUAUCUGUAGUCAAAAUAAAUCUGAGCACCUCGCAGUUUGUUUCUAUCUGAUGUGAAUUAUCGACAAAUUGCGGCACAAAUAAAAAUAUUAGGUAUAUUUAGAAUGAGUAUAAUAAUGUUUGUUGCAAAUAAUUAAUGUAACUGGUGUCUACAAGUUCAAUAAAUAUUUAUUUGAAUUCUCC
rnacentral:lncRNA from 1 species